rnacentral:antisense_RNA from 1 species
AGGGGUAUUAAUCAAUGUUUUGAUUAAUUACACGUACAUAGAAUUUAAGACAAAGUAAAGGCUCUUCCAUCCCCGCAAGUCCCCAGAGAAAAUUUAUAACAGCAAAGUAUCAUCAUUACUAAAUUAGAGCGUGACCAGCCUACUGGUCUUGCCCAAGUCCACGCUGACUUGGGAAAAGUGACUGCCCGCCGUGAUGGAAGGGAAGUACUCAACCCAACAGACUCAGCCCUUUUUAAAAACUGGAAGCAGGGGUGAGUCACGGAACUCCCUCUGCAGCAGCACCUCCAUCUUCCCAUCCCUGGGCUGGCAACAGAGGGGAAAAAAAAAGUUGGCUGAAUGGACCAGCAGGUGAGAUGAAGAGUUGAUUGUCUUCAAACAUAAAAUAUCUCUUCAAGCAAGAAAAGAAGAUAAAAGUCUCUUCAAUAAAUGUUGGCAAUAUUUUCGA